CUGCAGUCCCCACAUUCCUACAAUAAAUACCAACCUAAAGCAAAACCUUUUGAAGGACGAUGCCCCCAAGUACAGAGAGGCCGAGGGCAGAGCUAGAAGCCCCUUUGGAUGUGAAAAGUAACUGCAUGAAACAGCCACAGCAUAAAUAUAGCUGAUGAGAAAGGCCCUGUCCCAACCGCGGGGCUCACUCUUGCUGCGUCCUCCAUGCGGAACACGACAGACUCUGCGACACGCAACUGGAGCUCAUUCCCAUGGGGUGAAGCCCCAGUCCUGUGCUUCCUCUUCCCUCCUGUCACCCUGGUAAGUCACAGGCCUGCCCCCAGGAUCUAUACAAGUCAGGCCCGCCAUCUUUAACCCCUGUCCACGCUGCGGAUGGUAUGUCCCCAAACCAUAACUGUGUGCACCAUACUCCCCUCAGGCUCAUCCAUGACUUCCGGCCCAGAACUUUCCCUGACCCACAGCCCAGGCCCUGCUACUUCACCUGGAUCAUCGCUCCCUCCCACCCACCUGCACUCAGCCCCUCCCCCUGUCCUGAUCAUUCCUCCUCCUUUCUCCUCCUCCACUCCCCCAGCUCUGCCUCGCCCAGCCUCCCUCUGCGGGACUGGGCUUCCCACUUUCCAGAACAUGGGGCUGAUCCCACCCCGGCCCGGCCUCCCUCCUUGCACACAGUGUGACGCGCAGCUGCAUCUCCUGUGUGGCCUCGUGGCCAGUGUGCCCAGGGAACAUCCUCCACCCUGCAGGUCCAGGGGCCAGUCUGUGCUCAAGAAACAAAGGCUGCACUCAACUCCAUGCGAAGACUACAAAGUAAAACAAGAAGAGAUGAAAAAAAAACUAAAUGUUCUUUGCAUAAAACUGUUGUGAUAAAAUGAAUCAGUGUUUUACUCUAACAUUUACCCCAAGUGCUACACAAAUAUAAAGUCUGACUUUAAGAACUCAUUCUUGCGUAACUGGGAGAUGACACCCGUGGAAUAGACUGGGCUGAUGCCGCAGAUGGCUUAAGGACAGAUGAAAUAAUGCCAUCUGUGCGCACACAAGACAGCCCACUCAGAGAGCUACUGCCGCAAAAUGAAAGUGUUCCUGAAACACAAAGAUAAGAGAGAAUUUACGAAUUCUAUCAGAAAGAAAUUCAACAGACAUAAAACCAUAAACCUCUCAGAGACUAAAAAGGUUCUGCUAAGUUGCUUUGAAACCUAUGAAAUACAAAGCAAGCUGCUUCUAUGACAGCCUAGGGUGGUGUUCUCGACCUGCUUUCUGCUUAUAACUCCCCCUCCCUGGGAACAGGAGCUUGAGGUAAGAAUCUGGGCUCCAAGGCAGGCGCCUGCUCCCGUCCAGGCUCUGCCGUCUCCGUCCCAUGAGAGUAAAACGGCCGAACUCUUGGCCACAUCGUAAGAAUUGAACGGUGCCACCAAGCACUAGCAUGGGGCUGGAUACUGCUCGCAAAACGUUACCUGUCGCCACCACCCAGGCUGUGAGAGUUGUUCAAUAGACACUAGGAAGCACAGAACAGGAGCGGGGAGACUGCACCCCAAGUUAACCUUGGAAAGAACCGUGUGGACGAUCCUUAGGCAGAGAUACGCAAACAGGUGCUUUGUGUCCAGGGAGCAAGGAAGGGCUGAACAGGAGCGAGUCCGGAACCUGACGGGUGGCGGUGACUGGAGUACCAUGCAGAGCCUGUCAGCGGCUGCUUUGAGAACGCGCAUUAUUACUCAUUCAAGACAUCUAAGUAGGCAGGAGGAGAGGAACAGGGUGUGCCGUGCUGUUCCCCACCUCUCACAUUUGGGGUAGCUAUGAUCGCACUGUUACUGCAGAUCAAA